AAGAAUUAAAUGGAUGAAAUUUGAAGUUUUAUUAAAAGAAAAAGGGGUGAAAAGAACAAAGUUUUGUCCAUCUUUGUUCAUCAUAGCUGAAAGUUAGAGAAGAGAAAGGAGAGGAGAAAGCUCUUGAGUAUUUGGUCAUUAGGAGGAGGAAAAUUGACGGAAAUCCCCAACCAUAGUGGGCUUGGAGCUGUGAGGGAAUUCGGAGUGGCCACCCGUUCUGAAAGUUUGAUUUUCUUCUGGUGAACUAGACAUCUUUUUAAUUACGUUUGAGGUUUUGGGCUUUUAAAUGUAAUAAAGCCGCUUAUUUAUUUUUGAUGGUUUUUAUUAUGUAUUACUAAGAUAGGUAAUACUUAUUUUAACUGUUGAAAUUAGAUAGCUUUAGGGCGCGUUUUCAAAAACAA